AGCAGCCGCGGUAAUUCCAGCUCCAAUAGCGUAUAUUAAAGUUGUUGCAGUUAAAAAGCUCGUAGUUGAAUUUCGGGGUUAGUAGGUUGGUCAUGCCUCUGGUAUGUACUGGUCUCACUGAUUCCUCCUUCCUGAUGAGCCGUAAUGCCAUUAAUUUGGUGUUGCGGGGAAUUUGGACUGUUACUUUGAAAAAAUUAGAGUGUUUAAAGUAAGCUAACGCUUGAAUACAUUAGCAUGGAAUAAUGAAAUAGGACGUUCGAUCCUAUUUUGUUGGUUUCUAGGAUUGACGUAAUGAUUAAUAGGGAUAGUUGGGGGCAUUAGUAUUCAAUUGUCAGAGGUGAAAUUCUUGGAUUUAUUGAAGACUAACUACUGCGAAAGCAUUUGCCAAGGAUGUUUUCAUUAAUCAAGAACGAAAGUUAGGGGAUCGAAGACGAUCAGAUACCGUCGUAGUCUUAACCAUAAACUAUGCCGACUAGGGAUCGGAUGAUGUUAAUUUUUAAUGACUCAUUCGGCGCCUUAA
rnacentral:rRNA from 1 species